CCUACGGGAGGCAGCAGUGAGGAAUAUUGGUCAAUGGGCGCUAGCCUGAACCAGCCAAGUAGCGUGAAGGAUGACUGCCCUAUGGGUUGUAAACUUAUUUUAUAUGGGAAUAAAGUGCAGUAUGUAGACUGCUUUGCAUGUACCUUAUGAAUAAGGAACGGCUAAUUCCGUGCCAGAAGCCGCUGUAAUACGGAGGAUCUGAGCGUUAUCCGGCUUUAUUGGGUGUAUAGGGAGCGUAGGCGGGUUGUUAAGUCAGUUGUGAAAGUUUGCGGCUCAACCGUAAAAGUGCAGGUGAUACUGGCAUCCUUGAGUACAGUAGAGGUAGGCGGAAUUCGUGGUGUAGCGGUGAACUGCUUAGAUAUCACGAAGAACUCCGAGUGCGAAGGCAGCCUGCUGGACUGUAACUGACGCUGAUGCUCGAAAGUGUGGGUAUCAAACAGGAUUAGAUACCCGGGUAGUC
rnacentral:rRNA from 1 species